UACGAAGGGGGCUAGCGUUGCUCGGAAUUACUGGGCGUAAAGGGCGCGUAGGCGGACAGUUUAGUCAGAGGUGAAAGCCCAGGGCUCAACCUUGGAAUUGCCUUUGAUACUGGCUGUCUUGAGUUCGGGAGAGGUGAGUGGAAUGCCGAGUGUAGAGGUGAAAUUCGUAGAUAUUCGGAAGAACACCAGUGGCGAAGGCGACACGCUGGGCCGUACCUGACACUGAUGCGCGACAGCAUGGGGAGCAAACAGG
rnacentral:rRNA from 1 species